rnacentral:lncRNA from 10 species
AACCUACAUGGAAGAGGUUAUGAAAUGAUGACAGAAUAGAAUGGGCCUGUGAGGCUGGAAGGAGAUAUUUUUCCUUGUCUAAGAAUCAUUUGCCUUGUGUGGGAAGAGAUUGAUAAUUUCCCACCAGCUGGUUUUGCUAGAAUUAGGAGAAAAUAUGUAUAAUUGCAGUUUGUUUAAAAUUUUAUUUUAGUAUUUUAUAGCCUUGAAGGUGCUAAUAUUUAGAUUAUAUAUAUUCAUGUACAUUCAUUUAUGUACAUUUAUACAAUGCAAUGGGAAUACAGCAAUGAACAAGGAAAACAAAAAUUCAUGCAUCAGUGGAACUUACAUUUUAGUGGAAGGGUGAGAUAAAAAAUUAAUAAAUACACUGUACAUAUAUAUACAUGUACAUUCAUAUAUCCAUGUCUAUCGA